UACUUUUGCGAUGAUUUUGGUGUCACACCCUGUUUCAGGCGUGUGGUGAAAAGGGAAUCAGGUGCGAAUCCUGAACAGACCCGCUGCUGUAAGCUCCACUAAAGUCCACGGACACUACUCACUCCACUGUUUCAACUUGAAAUGGGAAGGACGUCCGGGGAUGGGGUAAGUCAGAAGACCUGCCAAUCAUUAUAUGUUUAAC
rnacentral:ncRNA from 15 species